rnacentral:rRNA from 1 species
CACGUAGUUAGCCGGGGCUUUCUUCUCAGGUACCGUCACCCUGAGGGCAGUUACUCCCCAAGCCUUCUUCCCUGGCAACAGAGCUUUACGAUCCGAAGACCUUCCUCACUCACGCGGCGUUGCUCCGUCAGACUUUCGUCCAUUGCGGAAGAUUCCCUACUGCUGCCUCCCGUAGGAGUCUGGGCCGUGUCUCAGUCCCAGUGUGGCCGUUCACCCUCUCAGGUCGGCUACGCAUCGUCGCCUAGGUAGGCCGUUACCCCACCUACUAGCUAAUGCGCCGCGGGCCCAUCCGAAAGUGACAGGUUGCCCCGUCUUUCCCGAACCCUUCAUGCGAAAGGUCCGCUUAUCCGGUAUUAGCAUCCGUUUCCGGAUGUUAUCCCGGUCUUCCGGGCAGGUUGCCCACGUGUUACUCACCCGUCCGCCGCUAAGUUUUCGCGCCUUCCACCCGAAGGCUUCCGCCGCGAAAACUCCGCUCGACUUGCAUGUAUUAGGCACGCCGCCAGCGUCUCGUCGUGCACGAGUCAACUAC